rnacentral:miRNA from 1 species
GAGCAACACAGUCUUCCAGAUACUUUGUCAAUAGCAACUUCUAAUGAGUCCAGAAUUUCCAGUGAUAAAACUGAUGGAAAAUGUGUUCAAGAAGGUAUCUGCAUU